UACGGAGGGGGCUAGCGUUGUUCGGAAUUACUGGGCGUAAAGCGCACGUAGGCGGCUUUGCAAGUCAGAGGUGAAAGCCCGGGGCUCAACCCCGGAAUUGCCUUUGAGACUGCAUCGCUAGAAUUGUGGAGAGGUAAGUGGAAUUCCGAGUGUAGAGGUGAAAUUCGUAGAUAUUCGGAAGAACACCAGUGGCGAAGGCGACUACCUGGUCUGGCAUUGACGCUCAUGUGCGAAAGCGUGGGGAGCAAACAGG
rnacentral:rRNA from 1 species